rnacentral:rRNA from 1 species
AACGAACGCUGGCGGCAGGCUUAACUCAUGCAAGUCGAACGCCCCGCAAGGGGAGUGGCAGACGGGUGAGUAACGCGUGGGAAUCUACCCAUCUCUGCGGAAUAGCUCCGGGAAACUGGAAUUAAUACCGCAUACGCCCUACGGGGGAAAGAUUUAUCGGGGAUGGAUGAGCCCGCGUUGGAUUAGCUAGUUGGUGGGGUAAAGGCCUACCAAGGCGACGAUCCAUAGCUGGUCUGAGAGGAUGGUCAGCCACAUUGGGACUGAGACACGGCCCAAACUCCUACGGGAGGCAGCAGUGGGGAAUAUUGGACAAUGGGCGCAAGCCUGAUCCAGCCAUGCCGCGUGAGUGAUGAAGGCCUUAGGGUUGUAAAGCUCUUUCACCGGUGAAGAUAAUGACGGUAACCGGAGAAGAAGCCCCGGCUAACUUCGUGCCAGCCGCCGCAGUAA